rnacentral:rRNA from 1 species
AACGAACGCUGGCGGCAUGCCUAACACAUGCAAGUCGAACGGGAUCCUAGCUUGCUAGGUGAGAGUGGCGGACGGGUGAGUAACACGUGGGAAUCUGCCUUUUGGUUCGGGAUAACCGCGGGAAACUGCGGCUAAUACCGAAUGCCCUCGAGAGAGGAAAGAUUUAUCGCCAGAAGAGGAGCCCGCGUCCGAUUAGGUAGUUGGUGGGGUAAAGGCCUACCAAGCCGACGAUCGGUAGCUGGUCUGAGAGGAUGAUCAGCCACACUGGGACUGAGAUACGGCCCAGACUCCUACGGGAGGCAGCAGUGGGGAAUAUUGGACAAUGGGGGCAACCCUGAUCCAGCAAUGCCGCGUGAGUGAUGAAGGCCUUAGGGUUGUAAAGCUCUUUGCCAGGGAAGAUGAUGACUGUACCUGGAGAAUAAGCCCCGGCUAACUUCGUGCCAGCAGCCGCGGU